GGGGGGGGGGGGGGGGGGGGGGGGGGGGGAGACCAUGAAGGCUGAGGUGUCUCCUUCCUAAAGAUACAGAUAAAAACCAGAGCCUCUAGCUGAGGAUUACCAGAAGGAGAAUUAAGUUCAAGUGUUUCCUAUGAGCAUAAAGUUACAAGUGCAUUGAGUUCGGGAAUUACCGUGUACCUUCGAAGAGCACUUGGAAGUGACACACCACUUUCACACUUCGACGCUUCCCCUCACACUGAUUCUGAAUGACAGUCUCUUGCAAGUGAACCUGCAGCUAGGUCCCAUGGCCCUUCCAAUUUUGAGUCCCCGACUCUGCUCGGCUGCGGCUUCCAAGAAGUGAAAGUUCGUUAGCAUCUACCCUGAAGACGCUGCUCUUCUUCACAGCUUUAAUGAUCACUGUACCUAUUGGCUUAUAUUUCACAACUAAAUCUUACAUU
rnacentral:lncRNA from 1 species